rnacentral:rRNA from 1 species
UACCUGCAGCUCGAGUGGUAACCGCUAUUAUUGGGCCUAAAGCGUCCGUAGCCGGUUUGGUAAAUAUCUGGGUAAAUCGUGAGGCUUAACUUCACGAAUUUCGGAUAGACUGCCAGACUUGGGAUCGGGGGAGGUCAGAGGUACUCCAGGGGCAGCGGUGAAAUGUUGUAAUCCUUGGAGGACCACCGGUAGCGAAGGCGUCUGACUAGAACGAGUCCGACGGUGAGGGACGAAGCCCUGGGGCGCAAACCGGAUUAGAUACCCGGGUAGUCCAGGGUGUAAACGAUGUGGGCUUUGUAUUGGAGGUCCCACGUGGGCGUCCAGUGCAGAAGAGAAGUUGUUAAGCCCACCGCCUGGGAAGUACGGUCGCAAGGCUGAAACUUAAAGGAAUUGGCGGGGGAGCACAGCAACGGGAGGAGCGUGCGGUUU